rnacentral:rRNA from 2 species
CCUACGGGAGGCAGCAGUGGGGAAUUUUGCGCAAUGGGGGAAACCCUGACGCAGCGACGCCGCGUGGAGGAUGAAGGUCUUCGGAUUGUAAACUCCUUUUGUCGGGGAAGAUAAUGACGGUACCCGAUGAAUAAGCCACGGCUAACUCUGUGCCAGCAGCCGCGGUAAU